CUUGACGCUGUUUAAUUUUGAAAAUUGUAAAAUAAAUUGUGAAGUUUAAGAGAAAGACGACUUUUUGAGCCCAAGGAAGUCUCUAUAAAACUUCCCCAAAUUAAGAGGCCAGUGCAACUGAGCCCUUUUUCUCUAUAAAUUGACACUACUCGUCAAUCUCAUGAAACAAAAAGCUAAUUUUUUUUUGUUUUUGUGCUUGAGAAAAAUGUUGAACAAGGCAAUAGUCACCUUCUUCAUUUUCUUUAUACUUUUGGCUGAAUUGCUCUUCCCUGUAGCACCCACUAGAAUCGCUACAACUAUGAAAUGGACUCCUCAUGUCCAUCGUAUGCCCAGUCGGGAUCAUCUCAGCUCUUCAGGUCCAAAUGAGUGAAAGGCAACGGAAAUUUCGUUAUCGUUCUGCGGUAACAACAACAAGAAUAAUGAGUUCAUCUAUCUAGCUUACAACGAGAACUCAUUGACUCGUUUCUAGAUGCGCAGGAGAUUUUACGUAGCAAAAAAGUUGAAAUUAUUUAUGAAUUUUGGUGUAUACAAGUUUCUAAUAAAUCAAUAAAGCAUGCGAACCAUUACCAGUUUGGUUUAUAUGUUAUACGAAAAUUAAUAA